rnacentral:rRNA from 1 species
AAACAGGAUUAGAUACCCUGGUAGUCCACGCCCUAAACGAUGUCUACUAGUUGUCGGGGAUUAAUUUACUUGGUAACGCAGCUAACGCGUGAAGUAGACCGCCUGGGGAGUACGGUCGCAAGAUUAAAACUCAAAGGAAUUGACGGGGACCCGCACAAGCGGUGGAUGAUGUGGAUUAAUUCGAUGCAACGCGAAAAACCUUACCAGGCCUUGACAUCCAAUGAACUUUCCAGAGAUGGAUUGGUGCCUUCGGGAACAUUGAGACAGGUGCUGCAUGGCUGUCGUCAGCUCGUGUCGUGAGAUGUUGGGUUAAGUCCCGUAACGAGCGCAACCCUUGUCCUUAGUUACCAGCACGUAAUGGUGGGCACUCUAAGGAGACUGCCGGUGACAAACCGGAGGAAGGUGGGGAUGACGU